rnacentral:rRNA from 1 species
UAGGGAAUAUUGCAAAAUGGGCGAAAGCCCGAUGCAGCAACGCCGCGUGGGCGAUGAAGGCCUUCGGGUCGUAAAGCCCUUUUUGAGGGGAUGAGGAGGGACAGUACCCUCAGAAUAAGCCUCGGCUAACUACGUGCCAGCAGCCGCGGUAAAACGUAGGAGGCGAGCGUUAUCCGGAUUUACUGGGCGUAAAGCGCGUGCAGGCGGAUUGGAGAGUUGGAUGUGAAAGCUCCCGGCUUAACUGGGAGAGGUCGUUCAAUACUUCCAGUCUCGAGUGCAGUAGAGGGAAGUGGAAUUCCGGGUGUAGUGGUGAAAUGCGUAGAUAUCCGGAGGAACACCAGUGGCGAAAGCGGCUUCCUGGACUGUAACUGACGCUCAGACGCGAAAGCUAGGGUAGCAAACG